AUCUUGGGACACCAGUUUGUCCUGCCAUCCUCAUGCACAGCCCAAACCCCCAUACAUGAUGAUUCAUGCUCUGUUUUCUCUCGAAACAGCUCAGCAUCCUGGCAUUGUGAGGGCGGCCUAAACCUCAGGCCGAAAGAAGCAUGAAGACCGUAGAUGUGGAUUUUCCCGGGUGGUCGAAGAGAUGUCUGUCACCAUGCCAGAAAAUGAUUUCUGCUCAUGACAGCUCAUUUCCAGCCUGCUGUUUAUUUGUUCUGCUGUGUUUUUUUUUUUUUUUUGGCUGGGUAAUUUACCCCAGAUCAGUGCUCUUAAAGUUAACUGACCCCCCUUUCACCUGUCUUGUCCCAGGGACUUUUAACACCUCGGAUUUUAGCAUCUCACAACGGAAAGCUAUUGAUGAGCCACUAAAAGGAUUAGUAGCAUUAAGGGUAACUGUAUUCAGAUAUGACUAAUGCCCGAGCAGGACCCGCAGGAUUGAGAGGUGUUAAGUCAAAUCGUUCAAUAAGGCCUCCAUUAAUCCCCCUUCAUAGACAGCAGCAGAAUCAGACCAAGUCAUGCCUGGAAACCAAGUUUGGAAAUAGAUAAUAUUCGUGCUCAUACUAUACUUUUACUCUAAAAAAUGUUGCAUUGUUUUUUUUAACCCAAAUGCUGGGUUCAGCCUGCUGGGUAAUUUUAUUGGGUUAUUUUUAUUUUUAUUUUUUUUUACCCAUGUGCUGGGUCACUCUGAAAAUGCUGGGUUGGUUAUUUAUUUAUUCAUUUUAACCCAAAUGGUGGGUUCAGCCUGCUGGGUAAUUAUACUGGGUUAUUUUUAAUAUUUUUACCCAGCUGCUGGGUCAUUUUUAAUGUCAAUGAACCCCCUCACAUACCUACCCAGCACUGGGUAAAUGUAACCCCAUGUUGGGUAGUCUGUGCCAAACCGGUUAAAACUGGAAUUUAACGGUCAUUUUGUUUUGUGUUCUGAGAGAAAACUUCCUGAGGGGAAAUUCCUGAAUGAAAUUAUGGUUUGCAUAACAUUGUAUUACUAUCAAAUUAUUACUGUACAAAGAGGAAAACGUCUGUAGUCUCACAUUUUACCUUUUUUUGUUUACAUGUACGCCGCAGGCCUACGAACGUUAGCCUUCUACAAACGCAGCUUACACCGGAUCUACAAACGACGCGCCGGCGCCACCUAUGGCAGUUUCACGGCCGUCAAACGAAUGCGCGACCAGGGCUAAAUCACGACGCGACAUCGCUGUUAUAUGUAACAAAGUUGCUGUGCGCUCCACUGACUUUAAUAGGAGCACUGUUGGUCUAGUGCGCUAGCGUUGCAGCUGUGGUCGGGUCGCGCGAUGCGUUUGACGGUUGAAAUGCUUGACAGAUGAAGAUUCCCGUGGCAUUCACAACAUCACCGAUCCAUUCCGGACAACUGGAGGAUGGCUGUGAUGUUGCAGUCAUAAGGAUAAAGGGCCGGCCGUCACAGGGGCUUUUAUAGACGAUGGAUGUCACAAGUGUCAGACUAAAUAAACGGAGGGCAGCGCUGCUUAUUUGUAUGGCGUUAACAGGCGCGCAAAACCCCAAAGAGCCACGAAAGAGCCGGGCCGCCACCCAACAAGCAGGAGCAAUAUCCCUCUGACUGACGCUCUUGUGAUUGCGGUAGUAGCGGCGUAAACGCCACCUGUCUCCUCUCCUCUCUGUUCCUCUUUUUGAAACACCAGUUCCACUCAGUCUCACAGGCUCUCUGUUGUCCUCUUCGGUUAUUCCCUGAAUCAAACUCCUCCAAUGGCAUCAUCUAAUAAAAGCUACCGGCGUGCUACCUCUCUCCUUCCUAAAAAAACAAGACUUCAUUAUUAGAUUGAAUGCAUGAGUUGGAUGUCAGCUGACAUCUUUGCCUCCAUCUUAAAUGCUAAAACACAGAGCUGGUGUGACAAAUGAGACACAGAGCAGAGCUCGAUGUAACUAUGAAAAUGGCUGUGCACUUUUUCUCUUUAGAGUGUAUUUCUAAUAUUUUAGGGCUAUAUUUAUUUGUGUUUUCAAUUGACUGAUAUUAAUGAAAUAUUGCAGACAUAAAAUAUAACUUGGUCUAAGAAAAUCUAACUUAAAUAUUAUUCAUUAAUCUAAAUGUAUUUAUUUAUUUAUUUAUUUACCUUUUUAUUUUCUUUUAUUAAGCUAUAUGUAUUGGUGUUUCUGAAUGAUUUCAUCUGAGUGGAAAUAAUGUCAAUA